rnacentral:sRNA from 1 species
GACAAAAAUAAUACUCUUUGCUUCGAUAUUUUAUAUUUGUGCUGCAUGGGAAAAAUUGCCAUAAUUCAAUUUCCUUGCAGGAUUUUCUUGCAAGCCACUAGAUAUGGACCCAUGAAACGGACGAGGACGGCAUCUUACUGAAAUAGUACAGCGAGGAGUACUCUGCACACCGUGGUUGGAUGGAGAUAUACAUCGCAACAACUGAACAAGGUAAUCACAUCAACUGAUGUGUUUCUUAUUACUUUUAAUACAUGGUAAUAAAGAGCGACGAUUCAUACUUCAUACAGUUAAUCAGCAUUACUAUGCAGCACGUCAACUAAGUAUAACUCCCAUAACAUUACUAUGAUUUAUGGCACAACAUGGCUUUCAUAUGAAACAAAUGGCUUAGGGGGCACCUCUAUAUUCUGCAACCUUCCAGUUAGCAUGUUUACAACCUUCGUCAUUGUGGGACGGUUUCUUGGGUUCCACUGAAUGCACCACAGUGCCACGAGGGCCAUCUGUCUAACCUUCAGUCUACUUCUUCUGUCAUUUCCCUACUAAGUACAAAGUCCUGCUCAGUAAUUACUUUCUCAUAGAUCCACUCUGGAAAGUAGACCUCAUUUUGGUUCUCAAUACUCGGGUCUGAGUUUCUCCUUCCACUCACCAUUUCUAACACAAGCAUGCCAAAACUAUAUACAUCUGACUUGUAAGAUAUCUCCCCAAAGUUCCUAGAAUAUAGCUCUGGUGCAAUGUAGCCCAUCGUGCCUCUUGCUUUGGUCAAGGUAACAAUGCUUUGGUCCCUUGCACACAGCUUUGCAAGACCAAAGUCUGAAAUCUUCGGAUUGAAGUUAUAGUCAAGCAAUAUAUUAUUAGGCUUGAUAUCAAAAUGGAGGAUGCGUUGGUUGCAUCCUUGAUGAAGAUACUCCAUUCCUCGGGCAAUGCCUAAGGCAACAUCUAACAUCUUUUUUGGUGCUAGGAGUUCUUGAGAAGUAUUAGGGUCAUGCAAGAAUAUGCAUUUCUCCAAUGAUUCAUUAGGCAUGAAUUCAUAGAUAAGAAUGUGCCGUGUUCCUUCAGAGCAGAAUCCCAGAAGGCGGGCAAUGUUUAUAUGAUGAAUUUGUCCAAUUGUUGCUACUUCAUUGAUGAACUCUUCUCCAUUUCCUGUAGAGUGUUCUAUCAUUUUAACUGCCACAGGCACUCCGUUUGGUAGUCGUCCUUUGUAUACACUUCCAAAUCCACCCUGACCUAAUUGUUCCUUGAAGCGUCUCGUUAUCUUCUUAACAUCAGAGAAACUGUACCUUGUGGGCUUCGAUGUGCCAUAUGUCCUGAGGAACAUUUCAACCUUCAAAUGUACCUCUUCAUCAUACCUUGACUUCAGUGAAAGAUAGAGUGCUGUGGCCAUGAUGAACGAAAAAACAACAAAUGCGGCUACCGAUGAUGUAGCUGAAUUAACAGAGAAGGGGAAAUUAGCACAUUGCAUUAGGAUCGAAAGUUGUGGCUAGUAAUCAACUGAUUGUGAUUGCCUGAUGGGUACUGUAAGAGCAGGUGGUGUCUUUUUUAGCAGAAGAAUGCUGAGUCAGAAGACUCAGAACUGCUAGCAAUAAGAAUUUAUAUGUACUGAUAACAUUGUUUCUUUUCUCUUUUUAAUAGAAAGGUAGGUUUGAGUACUGCAGUACCUGAAAUGACUUUCACACGCUAACCUGCAAGUAUGAACGAAGAUAAUAAGUUCUGGUUGGUGGUUUUAACAGAUAAUGGAUAAUUACAUCUUGAAAAUAAAAACAGAGCAAUCCAACAAAAUGUAUCAGCGAACAUGGCCCUGGUGGGGUAGGAUAGAGUUUUGGCUCUAAAUUUUUAUGCACCAUGAUCAUAUGAAUAUAUUUGCAAUAGUGAAAUUUUCCUUACAUCUUAUUUUGCAGUAUCAUCAUAAGACAGUUCUGUGUGCUAACUCUCGUAUUUUUGUCAUGCCAGAUAAGGAUGAUUAGGAUGAGUUGAGGUGGGUUAUGGGCUAAAUUAUAAAGGCUUCCACAUAUCACCUCCCAUGUCUACUAAUCUAUUAUCAAAGCAACCAAAGAUCUAACUGCAGCUCCUGUUAUAUCAGGUAACAAACCAAAACUUAGAUUAUAUCGUGUAUACCUCUGUAAUUAUUCCUUUAUCUUAAUGAAUUUUGGUCGGCUUCCUUUCGCCGACCUGGC